AGGCAGCAGUGGGGAAUAUUGCACAAUGGGCGAAAGCCUGAUGCAGCUAUGCCGCGUGUAUGAAGAAGGCCUUAGGGUUGUAAAGUACUUUCAGCGGGGAGGAAAAAAAUAAAUCUAAUAAAUUUAUUUCGUGACGUUACCCGCAGAAGAAGCACCGGCUAACUCCGUGCCAGCAGCCGCGGUAA
rnacentral:rRNA from 1 species